GUACUUACUUUAUUCCCAAUGCCGUAGUAUCUGAACACUUCACAGUUUUUGAAGUACUCAUCCUCAUAACACCUUUGUGAGAUGUCAGCUUUUCCAUUUCAAUCGGUUGUCCAGACUUGUUUCCACCAUUUCUCCUGGAAGAUUUUCCUGACUCUGGGUGGAAGCAUUACAGAAAGAACAUAUUUUAAAACAAUAAAAGAAUCUACACAAGACAUCACCCAAAUCCAACUUGGGGCUCUGAAAUGAAACUGCCAUUUCUACAACUAUUCCAGAACACAGGACCCUAUCUGGUGAUCGACAUGGGUCACCAAAUCAAGGUUUUAAGGACUGAUCCAAGCUACCGGCCGAAUCUCCUUACUGCAUGAUGAUGACCUUAUUCAACAGCUAUGUUACAUUGGAACAAUUUGCUGUCUGCCUCAAGAGUGGAACUCAUGUGCAGGAGACAUUGGAGGAGAGAAUAAUCCAUCCACCAAAAAUACCUGAGAUGAGGUAGCAGAACACUAGAGCUUCCUCCCACAAGGAGAUAUCAGGUAGGAUAGCCAGGGAGCUAUAUGAGGAAGAGUAUUGCAUGCCUUGGUGGGUUCCUCCAUAAGUUCAGCCAAACAUCCAGGCUUUGAAGUUCCUUACAUCACUAGAUGUGUAUGUAGCGUAUAUAUGCGGUGAGUCUUUUGUUUGUGAGUGAAA